rnacentral:pre_miRNA from 7 species
UUCUGGAGUGUCUAAAGACAGCUACAGUGUACUCAUGAAAGAACCUAGUGGGGAAAACCCCACUCAAUUCCCGAUUUGGCGUGCACCCAAGAAUCACGAACAGAACA